GUGCCAGCAGCCGCGGUAAUACGUAGGGUGCGAGCGUUGUCCGGAAUUACUGGGCGUAAAGAGCUCGUAGGUGGUUUGUCGCGUCGUCUGUGAAAUUCUGGGGCUUAACUCCGGGCGUGCAGGCGAUACGGGCAUAACUUGAGUGCUGUAGGGGUAACUGGAAUUCCUGGUGUAGCGGUGAAAUGCGCAGAUAUCAGGAGGACACCGAUGGCGAAGGCAGGUUACUGGGCAGUUACUGACGCUGAGGAGCGAAAGCAUGGGUA
rnacentral:rRNA from 1 species